rnacentral:rRNA from 1 species
GGAUGCGAUCACACCAGCACUAAAGCACCGGA